UGUGUAUUUUCACAGCAGCACUCCCUAGCAUGGUGAGAGGCAGUCUAAAUGUGACCACAGAAGCAGGUUUACAAGGUGAGAGGACCUGUUUAGCCUCCUGCUCUCGUUUACUUACCUGGAAGGUCUCUUCCUCCACCUUGCUCUAAGCCUUGUGUCAUGCUUACAAACUCUGUUUUUCCCAGAGGGAGUAGAAGUAAGUGACAGGACUGGUACUCCUAGCACUUCAGCUGUCCUAGAACACAGCUCAGAGUCGGCUGACCCCUUCAGUGUAGAAGUACCCCUACCAAACACUGACCAGCAGUGUCUCUACCUCUGAGCAAAACGGUUUUUUAUGUAAAACUUUCUGAAGUACAGAGCAAAAUCUUUCUGGCUGUGAGAAGCGUAGUGAAAGCAGUCAAGUGAUUACUGCCCAGAAAUAGACACUGGAAGAUUGAGGUGAUAUUUCUAGGUCUGUCAUAGUCUAGCUUUAUAAUUUGUCUCUCAAUUUCCUCCUCUGCAACAUGGUCACAUUUGCUUACUCCACAUUACUACUGAAACCUGUUUCACAUCUUGAAGUGCUUUGAGAUUCUCAGACAGAAGGAAAUAUUGCAGAAAAAAAUAUUUCCAUUAUGUCUUAGGGCUUGCAGACUGUUAUCACACAGACAGCUUCCUUGAGGUAGCUUUUCAAGGCCUGAAGUUACCCACACUUUCCUUUAUACUAAAAAAAUGGCCUACCACAGAGCUGUCCAACUGGCGGCCCAUGGGCUGUACGCAGCCUGCGACAGGUUAAUAUGUGGCCUGUUGGCUCCUACCUGAUGAUCACUCCUUCCAUUGUUCCUGCUGUUAUGUGCCAUGGAGGCCGGGGGUUCUAGGCUAACCCUCUCUCUUCUGGUUCCUCCUGCCUGCCAUGCUCCUGGGGGCAGGGUGGUGUAGGGGAGAGGUAGCCAGCAUUUGUGCUGCUUGUGAUCUUCACAUGGCUGGGGGGUGGGGAGCCAGGCUGCACAUGUGGCUGAGAUUGAACCUUAGAAUGCUUUUAUAAGGAUAGAGAUACACAUGGAAAAACACAAUAAUCCAACUAGUUAAAUUCCCAGAACCACUUAGUUUAGAUUUGUUUGCAGCAAGUCUAUGAAUCAUUUCAAACUGAACUAACAGUAGAUAAAAAUUAGCUGAACAGUUUAUCUAAUUAUCCCACUACUGUCUCAGAGAGCUGAUAGUUGUUUAAACUUUCCAAAAUGACCUGGGAGCCAGACCAGGAAUCAUAGGUUACAGUACUCGGGGGCAGACUUUAAUUGAACUGGAUUAUAUAAUGCAUACCAUAGCCUGUCUAGGACAGGGAGCCAGUAACUUUUGCCAUUGCACCUCAACACAGGAGCAGAAAGAGAGAAGACUGAAGAGUUGUAUAACAAAGGCCAACAGAUUUUUAGUAAGGGAGGGGCAAGAAAACAGCAAUUAAAUUUGGCCAAAUCAAGAAGGCUAGAAGGGAAAUUAACUGACUCUGAGUUGUUGGGUUGUGGGGAGGGGUUGCUUGCUCCCUAUGCCUUCCUGCAGGCAAUAUGUCAAAUCAGAACAAUUGUUUUCUCAUCAAACAUUUCCCUAUCAAAAGUUAGUUGCUGUCUCCUUCACAGGUUCCUGGGAAGAAAGGUAGAAAAUAGAAGAUCAACUAACCCACAGCCUCAGCUAGGUGUUCAUGAAUUCUUCUAGCAAUUAUUGGCUUCUCUUUCUACUCCAGUGCUGUCCAUCAGAAGGCCAAGGAACUAUUACAAACAUGAAAGCACAUAGCACUACUCUGAAGUAAGUAUUCAUUCCACAGAGAGGGAAAGCUCUGUUAUAGAGGCUGUGAGUUACCCAAGGUCAAUGAUUUGGACAAUGGGAGAGGUAGGAAUGGAAUGUGACUCCUAGUCUUGUGCUGUAACCACACUAAUGCAAUGCAUUCUGUUUUUAAUGUGGCAAUGACUUAUAUUGUUUAUUUCAGUGUAUAUUUCUCUAAUUAUUGUAGUUCCUGUAUUUUUAGAAUUUUCAGUAUAUGAAGUGCUCUCUCACAGUGGUAUGACUAUUUCUUACAAAUGAAGCAUUUGAGGAUUUUUUCUUUUUAAACCACAAUUAUCUGAACACGAUUAGACCAGAGUACUUAAUAAUCACAUAAAGAUCAAGAGCAACUAUGGUGAGAUUUUUAUCAUUCUGGACACUGAAAAAAAAUUUGAACAAAAAAACUCGUUGGAUUGGAGUUAAGAUUGAAAAUCCAUAUUAGUAAUUUAAGGUUAAAAGCCACCACAAGAAUGUUGCAAUUAUCGCCAAAUCAAGCAGUAUAAAAUCUGAAAAUGCAAUUUGAAGAUUCAAAAUAAGAGAGAUCAAAGCAUAUUCAUGUUCCUAUGAAAAUACACAACCAAGGCUCCCCAGUAACCUUAAUUCUACCCUAGAAUUAUACCGUGAGGGGAAAAAUAAUGGAAAACCAGUCUCUUUUUUUAAAUAUUAGUUUAAUCUAACCUGGAAUCAUCAAAACUUUAAUUGUAGGUUUAUAAUUUUUUGCAAUGCUUUUUAACAGAAAAGGAGUUAUACUAAAGCAUAAUAUACAAAUUCCUUUUAUAUAAACAUCUUAUUUUUAAAAACACUUUCCUUAAAAUUUCACUUAAAAAAAAUCCUGACUAUUUUAAAUGUUUCUGCAAUCUGUAAUUUCAGUGAAAACAGUAUUUGAAUCUUUCGGUCAUACCAUCUAUUUCUUUUAAAAUCAGCAUUUUAAAACAAACUUGAUUUUGUUUCAUGAGAUUUCACCCCAAUAUUCUCUCUUAUUUAAAUUUUAUUUUUAUUACUAUUGCAAGUUACAGUAGUACUGUUAGUAUAUGAAAUUCAGAACAUUCAUUUUAUUGUUUUUAUUCCCCACUAUUUUUGUCUUCUGUUUGUGCAUAGAACUCUCUGUCUCUUUCUUUUUCUCUCAUUUUUGCAGCAGCAGGAGACUCAGUUGAAUAGCAGAUUGUGAGCCCUCUGGAACUUAAUCUGAUACAGAAGGGCCUUCACUUUAUAAAGUGAUUUUUUUUAAAGUUACACUGCUCCCUCUGCUGGAUGGUGCCUACUAAACUUUUACUCCCAACACUAUAUUAAUAUCUACUAGUUUAUAAGCAAAGCUGUUAGGGAAAUUUAAUGAGAGAGUUAUGAAGAGAGGAAAUCCCUUAUGUUUUCUCUGUUAUCUGGUAGCAGUCAAAAACUCAUGGAUCGAGCAAGGCAUUGACUAAUACUUUAAACCCCAUCAUUAUUUGUAUAGUGAAAAAAGGAUCAUUUGGAAUCCCGUACUCUUUUAAAUAUUUUUGAAAUCCUAAUUGUUCACAACAUGUUAUUAGAAAGUCUUAGUACUGGUCAAAUGGUCCAUUAAAUUCAUUUUGCUCCAUAUUGGAUCAUGCUGGAAUUUUCUUAGUGGAAAAAAUAAAUUCUUACUGUCAGCCCUCUCUGUCCACGAGUGACUCUAGCAUACCUGCACCAGCAUCCCUGGAAUGCAGGUGAGUCAUUGUUUGUAGUUACUCACUAUUUCUUGCCUGCCAUGACUUGAUGCAAUUUUGUGAGAGGAGGCUACUUAAUUUCACAGUUUUCCUCUGAGCCUCUACUUGUAGGACAAUUUUCGCUGCUAAGGUUCUUCUGCAGAGCUCUCCCCACCUCUACACCCUGCUUGCAUGCCUCAUGUUGGCAACUUACUAUUGUCUUGUAGAGUUUGACUCCAGUAAAGAAACAGAAACUGAGUAAGUACAAAAGGAAACUGUGGCGGGCCAGAAGGGAGUGCUCCUGCACCAAAACACCCGCCUCACUGCACCCCGUCACACCCCAGGGGUGCCAACUUCUGACCAACUCCCUUCCUGGAGCACACCUGCAAGCCUGGGGGUUAACCACCACCACCAGCCAGGGUCUGGUCAUUGCUUGGAUCUUGUGCCCUCUGGGGUGCACAGGCUUUGUAGACUAGACCUUGAGGGUGCUUGACCCAGUGUGAGAUCUUGGGGUGCUUCCUUUUGACCUGAAGCACAGAAAGUAGCUUCCCUUAGUCAGCCAAGCCAAGGAAAUAAAAAGGCGUGCCCAUUCCCUCUCCAGCAUGUACCACAAAGCUUGUUAUAGCAGAUAACUUUAUUGGGGAGCGAGGGUAGGCUUGGAGAGAGGUACAAAUCAGAAAAGUAUCAAAAGAAUACCCUGAGCAAACAGAAGUUGCUUUGUAGCCUUUUGACAAGUUUCUAGAACACUGUUACUGACUAAAUUCAGGUAAGUUACUCACAUGUUCAUCUGGAGUCUGAGAGAGCUCCAGAGGCCAUGUGCUUGCUCCAUGUUCCAAAAAAAUGCCUCCUCCCCCUUCCUCAUGGGGACCCUCAUCACUAAGUUCCCACGAGAAGCAGCCCCAUUAGCUCCUGCCCGGUGCUUCCAAAUGACAUCACCUUCCCAGGUGAGGGGACUACUCAAGUGACCUGCAGAGGUGUGGAAAUGGAGACAAUGGGAGCAGGUCCCCUCUCCCUCAGGAAUGUCUCCAGCACAGGUCACAAAUCGGUGUUAAAUGGAACAGAUGGGGGAGGGGCUACCUGCAGCCUGGAAGGGUGAUUCUUCCAGAGAAACAACCCAAACAAAACAUCUGUCCUCAAAAUGGUCGUCAUAACCCCUCCUGCUUGGGGUGUGUACACCGUUUCAAAGCUUGUCUCCCCAAUCCAAAUGGUCAGUGUUCAGUAGCCUGGGCUUUUCCUCAGCUCUAGUGGUCCACCUAAUUGAGGGCCCUCCCCUUAAGGUGUCUUUUACUGAGUUAAAGACCAAUGCAAAAUAAAGUUUAUCCACUUAAGUGCUUGAACCAGAACAAACCUGGUUCUGACCCUCUUCUCUUUCAGUCAGGGUACACUCUGAGGUUUGCUCCCUCUGUAAUUCUGUGGCACCUGGCUCAAGUGUGGUCUUAUACUGGACAAGGAACAGAUUACCCGUUCCUUUCUCUUUCCUAAACUCUGUCUACAGGUGCAAUCUCUCACAGCUGCUGCCCAGCAGUACUCAUGGUCAGCUGACAUCUCAGAGGCUUCUCUCAUCUUUCUCAACCGAUGUGCUCUCCAUGUCUCUGCUGCCUUCUGCACCCCUUGGGCAGUUUCCUCCAAGCCUUUGCUCACAGGGCAGUUCUGGUUGCCCUUCUUCCCCUCUCUCCCACUUCCAGCAUUCCACCUGCUUGCUUUUGUUCCCGGCCUCUGUGCUUCCUGGACCUGUCAGCUUUCCCAUUGCCAGGACAACUUCUGGUAGCCGGAGCUCAUGAAAUACAUGUUGGCACACCUGUGGAGCUGCCAGUGUGUUUUUAGGAUUGUUUUGCCUCAUGGCCAGGGCAGCUGAAUUCUCUGCACACUCCCCAGCUGUUUCCUCGGGUGUGAGGUUUUAGACACUGAGAGAUGCCACUUGAUGACAUCAUCUCCCUGCCCUAAGUUUCCUGGACUCCUGGUGGGUAAGUACUGCAAAACCUCCGUGACAGGGUUGGAGCUAGUCUCCCUGUUAUAGUUACCAUCAGCAAUGGCUUCAGAAAAUCCCCCCUAUCAAUUGGAAGAAUAGAAGGAUAAUCACCAACAUUCUGGCCCAAGUAAACAUCACCAGCAUUGAAGCCAUGUUUAUAUGGCACCAGCUCUGUUGGACAGGACAUGUCAUAAGGAUGCCUUAUAAUUGGAUCUCAAAACAGGUCCUAUACCCCAACUUGCCACUGGCCACCAUUCUAGAGGUGGAUAAAAGAAGAGAUUCAAGGACACCUGGAAGACGAAUCUGAAGAAAUCAGUCCUCAGGAGACUUGAUCACUGAAUCAUCUCCCAUGAUUCUGUGAUGGUACAACAAACCAUUGAUUUUUGGAACAAACUUGCCUCAUUAUGGAGGUGGAUAGAUGAGAGAGACAAAGGGAGAGAGCUGAGAUCUCCAGCAUCUAUUUGUCAUGUCUGCAGUCAAACAUGCAGAUCUCAGAUUGACCUUCUCAGUCAUCUUUGGACUCUCAGAUUACUUCCCUAUUUACUCAAACACUAUCAUCCUCAUAUCAAGGGGACUGCUGCCAGCAAUGACUCUCCAGUUUAUGUUGUUUUAUAUUGACUGUCUGACCAGGGUGUCUGAGAAUAGAAUAGAAGGGAUAUUGACUUUUUAUUACAUUUUUUUCUUGUAGGUUGAUUUGCCUGUCUGACCUGGUUUUUUUGAGUUCCUGUACUGGCUUGACUUGGGUAGUAACAUACUGUGACAAAUUUUGGGAAAUGUAAGUGGUUAAUUACAUUUCUGUUUUUCCUAAAAUAAAAUGUGGUAUUUAAAUGC